rnacentral:lncRNA from 1 species
GGCUGCUUAGAGGCCCAAGUGAACAAGCGGAGUGCUGAGGACUCGUCGCGUUGGCGACGGAGAGCGUCGAGGAGUUGAGUUGAAGUGAAAUUGGAAGGGAGUUGACGAGAGAAAGUGGAAGAUGAAGAUGAUAGUGAGGUGAGUUGCUGAUGGUCAUGGUGUUGUGUGGAGGCAAAAGAAAUGGUGGUGGGUUUGGAAGAUAAAGGGAGGAGGGAUUGUCGUGGGAGAGGCCAAGGGUGACUCUUGAGACACGAAGAGAGUGACAUUUCAGGGGAUUUGACGGAGAUUGAACAUGAAAAUUUGGAAAAGAAAGUUUCUUUCUUUCAGGAAUGAGCUAGUGAGCUGCAGCUGGAGUGAAAACAACUGGAUUUUCCUUUUUCUUUUUUUCUUUUUUUUUUUUUUCCCUUGAAGGUCGUUUCGUUUCCGGGCGGUUUUCUGCCAAUUGCAUAAACCAACCCUGAAUCCUUAACUUAGGCGGCUGAGGAGAUGCCAACGACGUCGUUAGCAGUGUUUUAAAAGCCUACCAACCAAAACGCUACGUUUGUUUCCAGGGGCGAUGGUUUAACUAUUUUGGACAGUUUAAUCUUCGGGGCCCAAUAUUUGGGUCCAACUAACCCCUGCAUCCACUGUGAGUUAUUGGGCCCUUACCCAACCCAAUGUUAAACAUUUUCACAUCUUCUUGAGGUUCCCCCCGGAGUCACACCCUGUGUCCCUGUCUGAAAUUAUAGUACGGUAGAAUUUUAAUAAAUUAAAGCUCAAUAAAUUGAUAAUCUCGAUAUAAAUAAUAAUUUUAUCGAUCCCAAGCUAAUAUGGUAAUUAAUAAUUUGAUAAAUUUAUUAUAUAAUAAAAUUUUAAAAAAUUUUUUAUUUUUCUAUAAGACCCAACUAAUAUAAAAAUUAAUAACGAAUUAAUUUAAAAAUAAAUACGUAUGAUAUGUUUAUGAUUUUCUUUGUUAUAAUGACAUAAUGCUUCACAUAUUUCAUUGGUUAUUGUUAUAUUCUAUGUGCUACAUUGGUUAUUGUUGUAUUCUAUAUGCCAUGUUAAGAAAAAUAAGAGAGAGAUUAGUUAAUAUGUCACCUCCAAAUAGUCUUCUCCGAUGAGUUACUGAAUAAUUGCUAUCCAGCCAUGCAAUUGUUAGCCUAUAUGGCUAUAAAUAUUGAUUUUGAUGAUAACAAACCACAUGUAUUUAUUAAGUGAAGAUUUAUGAAUUGUGCUUUUAUAAUAAGAAAAUGAUGUUAUGGAAUUAAAGCAUUUUGGAUUAAAAUGAAAGUAAUUUCAAAAUCUUUGAUAGUGUUUAAAUUUCGGAUUUGGACCUAUUUGAAACUAUUUAAAUGUUUUUGGGUCAUUCUAUAAUUUCACAAAGUUUGGGAGAAAUCAUAAUUUCAGAAAGUUUUGGGAUUAACGAAGCAUUACUUAGAAGUUCUGAAAUUGGACUUAUUUGCAAAGUUUCAUAACAUUUUGGGUCAUACUAUAGUUUUAUAAAGUUUUAGGGUCAAACUGAAAAUUUGAGAAAUAUUUCACUGUAGUAGGUUACUGUAGCAAGCGGCUAUCCGGAUUUUGAAAACCGGAAAUCCGGAUACGGGCAGUAAGCGUCCAGAACGAAAACAGCUUAUCGGAUUCCGUAACCGGCAAGCCGGAUAGGCAAAAUUCAAAUUUUUGCCUUAACGGUAACAUAAAUUCGGCUUACCGGAUUCCAUAAACGGUAAACCGGAUACGCCUGGAAUGUGAGUAACGACUAGUUUUUGAGCUCAAACUAUAAGAACUCAAAUCCAACUCAUUUUGAAGCUCUCCAACAAGUAAAAACAAAAAGCACACGAGAUAUCUUGAGCCUUCAAACUUGCAAACUACAUACAUUGAAUCAUUCAUUGUUCUUCAUCUUUGAAUAUCUACUCAUUGAGUGAGUUUCAUUGUAACUUUCAUUUCUUCAUUUCAAUUGUAAGAAUUUGAGUGUGUGAGACACUUGAGUGAAGAGAUUGGGAGAUAAUUUCUUCGUUGUAAAGGUUUAUUGACACCUUGAAGUCAAUUGUAAUCGGUUGAAGUCUCGAAAAGGCUUGGAUAGUGAAAUCCUCAAGCUUGGAUUGCUUGGAGGCGUGGACGUAGGCGGAGAUUACCGAACCACGUAAAAAUCCAUGUGUUUGUUUCUCUUCUCCUUUACUCUUUAAUUAUUGUGCCUUUAUUAAACUUAUUACUUUCAAUUUUUAUUAAGGCAUUAGAUUGUUUGUUGUGUGGAUUUGCUAGGAUAAUUUUUAAAUUUCCAAUUCACCCCCCCUCUUAGGUUGCACGCUUAUAUUUCAUUUGGUAUCAGAGCAAGGUGCUCUUAUUUAGAUUUAACAAUCUAGAGCUAAAGAUCAAUGGCAACUCAAAAUGAUUCCACAUUUAGGGAAGGGCAGUCCACUACUAAACCACCUUACUUUGAUGGAAACGAUUACCCAUAUUGGAAAACUAGGAUGAGAAUUUACUUGUAAGCCUUAGAUUAUGAGAUUUGAGAAAUCGUUAAUGAUGGUCCUUUCAUGCCUUUGACUAAAAAUGAAGUAGAAGAAGAUAUUCCAAAACCUUCACGGGAUUGGAAUGAUUUCGAAAAGAGAAAAGCUUCUCUAAAUUCCAAGGCUAUGAAUACCUUGUUUUGUGCUUUAGAUAAGAAAGAGUUUCAUAGAGUGUCUAGUUGCGAAAGUGCUAAUGAGAUUUGGCACAAACUUGAGGUUGUCUAUGAAGGCACGAACCAAGUGAAAGAAUCUAAAAUAAGUAGGUACACUCGACAAUACGAAUUGUUCUAAAUGAACAAAAUGAAAAUGUGUACUCUAUGUAUACUAGAUUCACGGACAUAGUGAACACUCUAGGAGCCCUAGGAAAGACUUUUUCAAAUAGCGAAAAAGUCAAGAAAAUCAUUAGGUCACUACCUAAGGAAUGGAGACAAAAAAGGACUGCCAUUGAGGAAGCCAAUGAUUUAAAUAUAUUACCUAUUGAUGAUUUAAUUGGCUCUCUUAUUUCAUAUGAAGAAGAUUUGGCAGCUGAAAAAGUGCAUGAGGAAAAGAAGAAAAACAUUGCUCUGAAGGCUUCAAAACAUGAGAGUGAUGAGGAAAGCGAAAUAAAUGAUGAGGAGCUGGCUAUGUUGGCUAGAAGAUUCAGAAAAUUUUACAAAAAGAACAAUGAGUAGAGAAAGUUCAGAGGCUACAAGAAUAAGAAGGAAUAGAAUGAGCCAAUCAUUUGUUAUGAAUGCAAGAAGCCCGGACACAUACGACCGGAAUGUCCUCUUCUCAACAAAUUCAAGAAAAAGGCUAUGGUGGCCACAUGGGAUGAUAGUGAUGAGGAAACAAGUGACGAUGAUGAGCAAUAAGAAAUGACAAACUUAGCUCUUAUGGCUAUUGGGAAAGAAUCAUGUGAUGAACUUGAUGAGGUAAGUGUUCUUCCUACAUAUGAUGAAUUGCAUGAUGCUUUUAAGGAUUUCCAUGAUGAGCUAAUGAAGAUUGGUAAAAAGAAUAUAUGUCUUAAAAAGAAGAUGAUAGAGCUUAAGAAUGAAAAUGAUUCAUUUAGUGCAAAGAUUACAUGCCUAGAAUUAUAAAAUAAAACAUUGCGUGAUAGUAUUGCAUUAUUUGAGAAUUCUAGCACCUCACAUGAGCACUUAGAGUCACACAUGAAUGACUUGAAAAAUGAGAAUGAAAUGCUUAGAAAGAAGAGCAAUGAACUAAAUGAAAUUGUGCUAAAAUUCACAAAUGGGCAAAAGAUGUUGGACAAUUUGCUAAACUCACAAAAGUGUAUAUUUGACAAAAGUGGCAUAGGUUAUAAACCGAAUUUGAAACAAAAAUUUUACAAGAGUUAUUUUAUGAAGAAUACAUUUAUUAACAGUAAAAUUGUAUGUCAUUAUUGCAAUCAAGAUGGCCAUAUGAAAAAUAGAUGUGCAGUGAAGAGAAAUGCAUAUUAUGGUAUGAAAUGUGUUUGGGUUCCGAAAGGAACCCUUGCUAACUCUCAAGGACCCAAAAAGGUUUGAGUACCUAAAACUUGAGAUUUUUUCUACAGGGCUCAAAAAAGAAGAAGAAUAAGUUGUACUUAGUCAGCGGUUGUUCAAGACACAUGAUAGGGAAUUAUUCUUGGUUUUCAAGCUUUACUAAGAUCGAAAAUGGUGGAGAUGUUUCAUUUGGGGAUAAUUCAAAAGGAAAAAUCAUUGGGAUUGGAAAUGUAGGUAAUGUAUCCUCUACUCUCAUUGAAAAUAUGUGUUUGGUUGAAAACUUGAAACACAAUUUGCCUAGUAUUAGUCAAUUAUGUGAUAAAAGAUAUAGAGUUAUUUUUUAUGAAUCAAAGUGUGUUAUUGAGAAUGCAUGUGAUGGGAAAGUCUUGUUUGUAGGAAAUAGAUGUGUUAAUGUUUAUACCAUUAAUAUAGAUUGUGCAUCAACAAAUAAGAAAUGUCUCUCCGCAUUGCAUAAUGAUGGUUGGUUGUGGCAUAGAAGAUUAGGUCAUGCAAGCAUGGAUUUAAUUUCAAAAUCGUGAAAAAUGAUUUAGUAAAAGGUCUUCCAAAAAUCAAUUUUAAAAAAGAUAGAACUUGUGAAGCAUGCCAAUUUGGAAAACAAAUCAAAACUUCCUUUAAAAGCAAGAAUCGUGUCUCCACUUCAAAACCACUUCAAUUGCUUCAUAUAAAUUUAUUUGGACCUUCUAGAUAUGCUAGUUUAAGUUGCAAAUUUUAUGCAUUUGUAAUUGUGGAUGAUUAUUCUAGAUACACAUGGGUAUUGUUCUUGGCUAAUAAGGAUGAUGCCAUUGAUGCAUUUUGAAUUUUCUAUAAAAAGGUUCAAAAUGAAAAAAGUUAUUAUAUUUCUUGUAUUAGAAGUGAUCAUGGUGGAGAAUUUAAAAAUCAUGCAUUUGAAAAUUUUUGUAAUGAUUUUGGCAUUGAACAUUAAUUUUCAUCACCUAGGACUCCACAACAAAAUGUAGUAGAGAGAAAGAAUAGGUCUAUUCAAGAAAUGGCUAGGACCAUGUUGAAUGAAAACUCUUUGCCUAAGUAUUUUUUGGCUGAAGCCGUCAACACCGCUUGUUAUGUUUUAAAUCGGGUGUUGAUUAGACCUAAUCUUAAUAAAACUCCAUAUGAGCUUUGGAAAGAUAGAAAACCCAACAUUGGUUAUUUUAAAGUUUUUUGAUGCAAAUGUUUUGUUUUGAACACAAAAGAUAAUCUUGGUAAAUUUGAUCCAAAAUCUGAUGUUGGCAUUUUUCUUGGUUAUUCAAAUUCAAACAAAGCUUAUAGAGUUUAUAAUAAAAAAAACUUUAGUUGUGGAAGAAUCUAUGCAUGUUACAUUUGAUGAGUCUAACCCCUCCUCUACGGAGAAAGUUGUUGUUGAUGAUAAUGCAGAAGAAGAACAACAAGAAGAAGCAUUGAAUGACAACCAAGAAGAUGCGCCCCGUGGAAUUGAAGAGGAACAUCAUGAAGAAACAAAUGCAGUGCAAAAUGAAGGUACUUCACAAACACUCCCCAAGGAGUGGAGGUAUAUAUCCUCUCACCCUAAAGAUGUAAUUUUAGAAGAUCCCUCAUGAGGUGUUACCACUAGGUCAUCCCUUAGAAACACAUGUGAGCAUGCUGCAUUUAUUUCUCAAAUUAAACCAAAAUCCUUUGCGGAUGCAGAAAACGAUAAAUCUUGGAUUAUGGCAAUGCAAGAGGAGUUGAAUCAAUUUGAGAGAAACAAUAUGUGGGAGUUAGUUCCUAAUCCGGAACAUCAAUCCAUUAUAGGUACUAAAUGGGUAUUUAGAAACAAAAUGGAUGAAUCCGGUGUGGUUGUAAAAAAUAAAGCUAGAUUAGUGGCUCAAUGUUACAACCAAGAGUGGAGGUAUGUAUCCUCUCACCCUAAGGAUGUAAUUUUAGGAGAUCUCUCACGAGGUGUUACCACUAGGUCAUCCCUUAGAAACACAUGUGAGCAUGCUGCAUUUAUUUAUCAAAUUGAAGCAAAAUCCUUAGCGGAUGUGGAAAACGAUGAAUCUUAGAUUAUGGCAGUGCAAGAGGAGUUGAAUCAAUUUGAGAGAAACAAUGUGUGGGAGUUAGUUCCUAAUCCGGAACAUCAAUCCAUUAUAGGUACUAAAUUGGUAUUUAGAAACAAAAUGGAUGAAUCCGGUGUGGUUGUAAAAAAUAAAGCUAGGUUAGUGGCUUAAGGUUACAACCAAGAAGAAUGAAUUGAUUUUUAUGAAACUUUUGCACUUGUAGUAAGGUUAGAAUCCAUUAGGAUGUUGUUAGCAUAUGCAUGUCAUAAGGAUUUUAUUUUAUAUCAAAUGGAUGUCAAGAGUGCUUUCUUAAAUGGAUAUAUUAUGGAGGAAGUCUAUGUGAAACAACCUCAUAGUUUUGAAAAUGAAAAAUUUUCAGAUCAUAUGUAUAAGUUAUCCAAGCCUUUGUAUGGUUUAAAACAAGCACCUAGAGCUUGGUAUGAUAGGCUUAAAAAUUUCUUGUUAGAUAACGAUUUUUCAAUGGGAAAAGUGGACACUACUCUUUUUGUUAAGCAUAAGAACCAAGACAUACUUAUUGUUCAAAUUUAUGUUGAUGACAUUAUUUUUGGUUCUACUAAUGAGUUGUUGUGUAACGAUUUUUUAUCAUGUAUGAGCCAAGAAUUUGAGAUGAGUAUGAUGGGAGAGUUGAAUUACUUCCUUGGACUUCAAAUCAAACAAAAUGAGGAAGGAAUUUUCAUAAACCAAGCCAAGUACGUGAAAGAUCCACUCAAAAGAUUUGGCUAUGAUAAUGGAAUGGCAAAAAGCACUCCUAUGAGUACUACUAUCAAGCUGGACAAAGAUGAGAAAGGUAAGGAAGUUGAUAUCAAGACAUAUCGAGGUAUGAUCAGAUCCUUACUCUACUUGACUGCUAGUAGGCCUGAUAUUAUGUUUAGUGUUUACUUGUGUGCUAGAUUUCAAUCUUGUCCUAAAGAGUCUCACAUGCUUGCUGUCAAACGCAUUUUUCGAUAUUUAAUUGGCACUAUUAAUCUUGGCCUUUGGUAUCCUAAAGGAAUUCAUAUUGAUUUAACUUGUUAUUCGGAUGCCAAUUUUGCUGGGUAUAAGGUUGAUAGAAAAAGUACUAGUGGAACAUGUCACUUCCUAAGCCAUUCUCUUGUCUCUUGGUUUAGUAAGAAACAAAACUCGGUUGCGCUUUCAACCACCGAGGUAGAAUAUAUUGCCGCAGGUAGUUGUUGUGCACAAAUUCUAUGGAUGAAACAAACUCUUAGAGAUUAUGGUAUUAAGCUUGAUCAAAUUCAUAUCUUAUGUGACAAUACUAGUGCUAUAAAUCUCUAUAAGAAUCCUAUUCAACAUUCUAGGACUAAGCAUAUAGAAAUUAGACAUCAUUUCCUUAGAGAUUUUGUUCAAAAAGGAGAUGUGGUAAUUAAAUUUGUUUCCACUGAAAAAUCAACUUGCGGAUAUAUUUACAAAACCUCUUAGCGAAGAGCAUUUUAUAAAGAUAAGACAUGAGCUUGGAAUGAUGAAUAUUGAAUCUUAAUUCAUGUUUUACUACAUGGCUUGAUAUGUUUGUUAUCAUAUGGAUUUAUGCUUUAUGAAUUAGACAACUUGAUAUGCUUGUAAAUUUAUGAUUUUAUGAUUUGUUUUUCAUGUAUUAAAUGACUUUAUUGAAAAAUUUUAAGUCUCAAAAUGAUUUAAAAUUAAUCAAUUUUUAAGGCCGGAAAUGAAAUAGUGUGUGUAGUACAAGUAUAAGAGCUAGUAAAUAUUCCAUUUCCAUUCAUCUGGAAAAACAUUUUUUUUUAUUGAUCUCUCUCGGGACAAAUUUCGGAUAACCGGAUUCUCAAUCCGAAAAAUCGAAUUAGCUUUGGUUGCUCUCGAGACAAUAUUCGGACAACCGGAUUUGCUAAGCUUCAUCUCUGCCUCAUAACUGGUCUACAGGAUCUUCAAUCUGGAAAACCGAAUUUGGAAGCCAACUCUCUGCCUCACAACCGGUCUACCGGUUAGCAAAACCGGAAAGCCGAAUUCGCGUGCAUGCUUUCUGGAACAACACCGGAUUUCCGGUUCAAGACAAUCCGGAAAACCGGAUUUUUGGAGGCUCUCGAAACCGGCCAGUCGGUUAAGGAAACCGGCAAGCCGAAUUGCCUCUUGCGGCUCUCGGGUCUAUAUCCGGUUUACCAGAUUUCAAAUUCGGAAAGCCGGUUUCGGAUUUCUCCAAUUCUACUCGCUAACCGGCUUACCGGUUAGAAAAUCCAGCAAGCCGGAUACGUGACCCUUUUAAGUUGUUCAUCCUCUUCCUCAUGCAUUCGGAAAACCAGUUCUUUAUCUCUCUAAAAACCAUUCUCAUUCUCUCUCUUUUUCACUCCAAAAUCCUUCAUUUUCUAUCCUUUUCACAUCAAAUUGAAUCUAAAAAAUCAUUCUCCAUCUCAUUAAGAACUCAAAACCAUCCUUGGAAUUCAUUUUGAACAUCUAAAUCUUUAGAUCCCAUUUUUAACCUAAGUUUUGAGCCAUUUUUUUCUCUCUCUAGAUUUCUCUCUCUCAAGUCGUUUUUGAUCCAAUUUUCUUCUCCAAAUCACUCUCAAUCUUCAUCAUCAUCAUUCUCCUUAUCCUUUUUAACUCAAAAUCAACCAAAUCUAAAUGUCAAGCUCUCGGUCGGUUUGAAGAAAAGGCAAAGAACCGGUUCAACCAUCCACACGGCCACGAGAAGCAAGGGGCACCUCCAGUCAAUCCACCUUUAAGUCCAUUCAUUUUCAGAACAAGCAACACUUGAUCAAAAGGUUCCAACAAAACUUUCGGACUUGUAAAGUACUCAACACUUUCUUUAUUUUACCGGAUGUUUUGCAUACUCUCCAGAUUAGUCAUAGAAAUCUAUUUCAAUUGUUGGGAGAUGUUGGUUGGAUUGAUGCAUUGUUGAUUGAGGAGAAUGUGUAUCCCGACUUGGUGAAAGUAUUUUACUCGAAUAUGGAUUGUUCCGCGGAGAAAGAAAAUCGAGUAAUCACCACAGUUGGAGGAGUUUUGAUUGAAUUUGAUGAUUCGGAGUUGAACUCCAUCCUAGGAUCUUCCGAUGAUGGACUGGACAUUUUUUCUCUUAGGAAACCUCCUGAUAUUGAUGACUAUGUUCAUGUUGAUGCCAUUCGUAAUAUUUAUCGGUGUAAUGAUCUUUCUGUUAAAGACUGUACCAUUCAUUUCCGUACUCAGUGUCUUUGUCUUCAAACUUAUUUUUUACUUCGUACCAUCCGGUCCAUUGUACUUCUUAGAUCAGGACAUUUGGAUGAGGUUUCUCAUAUGGAUGUGGCCAUGAUUGACUGUAUUCUUAGAGGUCGCCCGGUUGACUUGGGCUAUUCAAUUAUCCGCACCAUGUUGAGCAUUCCUGCCUUGAUUACCCGCUCUCUUCCUUAUGGUCACUUUAUUACCCGAAUUCUUAAAUUCUUUGAAGUGCCGAUUCUAGAACUAUCUUGUAGGCCGUCCAAGGGUAUUGGGGAUGAGGUUAUUGUUGGAUUAGGCUUUGAGUGGAAGGAUGGCACUUGGGUCAAAUACAACGAUAACAAGUUUACCUUUCUAGCCCCAAGUGAUGAUCGGCCACUUAAUGCUGUGAUUCCAACUGAUCAGCUUCCAGUAUUCUCACUCUCUUUUCGAGGGCAACGUAGACGCCAAGUUUCUUCUACGGUUGCUUCGGCUCCUAGUGCAUCUGCAUCCGUUUCAUCACCUCCACGGCCUCCUAUCUCUGGAGAUGUUACUCUUCAGCAGCUUAUGGAUGAGGUGCGGAUACUUUCGGUGCGGCAGACUGAGCUUCAGCAGGAGCAGCAGCAGCAGUAGCUCAUUCAUGGACAACGCCUCCUCUUUUAGCACUUCGGCAUUCCAUAUUCGUUUCCACCUCCGUCACCUCCAUCCUCACCACCUGAGUAGUAUCUUAUGCUUGUACUUGGACACACAUACAUUUCAUUUACUGCAUUGUGUGUUCUUUUAUUUUCAACUCUAUGGAUGGUUAUUAUGCUUUUUGGUUUAUGCAUUUGUUUUGGAUGAUAUGGAUUUGUUGUGACUAUUUAUGUUGGAUGUUAUGGAUUUGUUUUGAUUGAUCAUUAUGGAUUAUAUGGAUUUUCUUAUGCUUAUGGAUAUUUUUUUUACUAAUGUGCUUAUGUUGCGAUUUUGAUGAUUGAUAGGGGGAGCCUUUAUUCUUUUUGAUAAUGAAGGGGGAGAAUGAUUUAAUAUGUGUUAUGAAAAUAUGCAUGUAUUUAGGGGGAACAUGUAUGCAGGGGGAGUUUUUGUUAAACAAUUUUCAAAUCAUUUUUUUUAACUUGCAUUGAUUAAGGGGGAGCUUUUUCAUAACAAGAUUAAAGUUUUUAAUGUGUUUUGUCAUCAUAAAAAAUGAGGAGAUUGUUAGCCUAUAUGGCUAUAAAUAUUGAUUUUGAUGAUAACAAACCACAUGUAUUUAUUAAGUAAAGAUUUAUGAAUUGUGCUUUUAUAAUAAGAAAAUGAUGUUAUGGAAUUAAAGCAUUUUGGACUAAAAUGAAAGUAAUUUCAAAAUCUUUGAUAGUGUUUUAAAUUUCGGAUUUGGACCUAUUUGAAACUAUUUAAAUAUUUUUGGGUCAUUCUAUAAUUUCACAAAGUUUAGGCAAAAUCAUAAUUUUAAAAAGUUUUGGGAUUAACGAAGCAUUACUUAGAAAUUCUGAAAUUGGACUUAUUUGUAAAGUUUCAUAACGUUUUGGGCCAUACUACAGUUUUAUAAAGUUUUGGGGUCAAACUAAAAAUUUGAGAAAUAUUUCAUUGUAGCAGGUUACUGUAGCAAGCGGCUAUCCGGAUUCUGAAAACUGAAAAUCUGGAUACGGGCAGUAAGCAUCCAGAACGCAAACGGCUUACCGGAUUCCGUAACCGGCAAGCCGGAUAGGCAAAAUUCAAAUUUUUGCCUUAACGGUAACAUAAAUCCGGCCUAUCGGAUUUCAUAAACGGCAAACCGAAUACGCCUGGAACGUGAGUAACAGCUAGUUUUUGAGCUCAAACUAUAAGAACUCAAAUCCAACUCAUUUUGAAGCUCUCCAACAAGCAAAAACAAAAAGCACACGAGAUAUCUUGAGCCUUCAAACUUGCAAACUACAUACAUUGAAUCAUUCAUUGUUCUUCAUCUUUGAAUAUCUACUAAUUGAGUGAGUUUUAUUGUAACUUUCAUUUCUUUAUUUCAAUUGUAAGAAUUUGAGUGUGUGAGACACUUGAGUGAAGAGAUUAGGAGAAAUCAUAAUUUGGGCGAAAUCAUAAUUUCAAAAAGUUUUGGGAUUAACGAAGCAUUACUUAGAAAUUCUGAAAUUGGACUUAUUUAUAAAGUUUCAUAACGUUUUGGGCCAUACUAUAAUUUUAUAAAGUUUUGGGGUCAAAUUGAAAAUUUGAGAAAUAUUUCAUUGUAGCAGGUUACUGUAGCAAGCGGCUAUCCGGAUUCUGAAAACUGAAAAUCCGGAUACGGGCAGUAAGCGUUUAGAACGAAAACGGCUUAUUGGAUUCCGUAACCUGCAAGCCGGAUAGGCAAAAUUCAAAUUUUUGCCUUAACGGUAACAUAAAUCCGGCUUACCGGAUUCCAUAAACGGCAAAUCGAAUACGCCUGGAACGUGAGUAACAGCUAGUUUUUGAACUCAAAUCCAACUCAAUUUGAAGCUCUCCAACAAGCAAAAACAAAAAGCACACGAGAUAUCUUGAGCCUUCAAACUUGCAAACUACAUACAUUGAAUCAUUCAUUGUUCUUCAUCUUUGAAUAUCUACUCAUUGAGUAAGUUUUAUUGUAACUUUCAUUUCUUUAUUUCAAUUGUAAGAAUUGGAGUGUGUGAGACACUUGAGUGAAGAGAUUGGGAGAUAAUUUGUUCGUUGUAAAGGUUUAUUGACACCUCAAAGUCAAUUGUAAUCGGUUGAAGCCUCGGAAAGGCUUGAAUAGUGAAAUCCUCAAGCUUGGAUUGCUUGGAGGCGUGGACGUAGGCGGGGAUUGCCGAACCACGUAAAAAUCUGUGUGUUUGUUUCUCUUCUCUCUUACUCUUUAAUUAUUGUGCCUUUAUUAAACUUAUUGCUUUCAAUUUUUAUUAAGACAUUAGAUUGUUUGUGUGUGGAUUUGCUAAAAUAAUUUUUAAAUUUCCAAUUCACCCCCCCUCUUGGGUUGCACACUUAUAUUUCAGCAAUCUAGUGAAAAGAAUAUCAUAUGAUUGUUUCUUUCAAUUAAGAUAAAAUCAAAAUCAUAUCAUAUAGUUUGACAGAAUCACUGUAUUAUUUAAUUAUACUAUCAUACUUGAUAAAAGCUUAUAUUAUGAGCCUGAUAUUAUCUUUAAAUAUUAAAAUAUUAUUAAUUUAUCGAUAUAUUAAUAUUUACUCAAUUUAUGAGGUUAUAAUGUAUUUAUACUUUUCUCGUAUCAUAUCCCGCAAAAUCUAAAAAAAGUAUCUUAAGAGUAAUUGUAGAAAUCGCACUAAAUUAUUUAUUAAUCACAUCGGUUGUCACAUAAAUUGAAAUUCAAGAGUUUAGACUCCGCAUAAGAGUUAAGACUUAAAUACUGAGACCCUAACAUAUUACUGGAAUGAAUUAUUAUCGAUAGACCUAUGAGUCAACAUAAUCUUAUCAAAUAGACAACUAGAAUGUUGAGGAAACGAAGUACAUAGAAAUCGAAAUGCGUAGUUAUAAUUAAUUAACCAGCCAUAACUUCGGGAACCAACGAAUAUGUAUUGGAAGGCCGCGGGAGAUUAACAAAAGUUCGCUUCCCACACCGUGCUAGAAUAAACAUAGUACUUUCCUUUUCCAAUGCACCAAACAUUAAGCAGUUAGCAAACGUUGCAUUGAAUGUGCAUUUGCUUGUAUUUACUUGCAAAAGUUUUGCUCUUAUCAAUAACACCUAGAUUGCAUUGUGCACAUGAUACUCAUGUCUGUAAAUUAGCUGUAACGAAUUGGUACGAACUUAUGAGCCUUCAGCACUAGAGAAAUUUUAGAAUAUAUCAAAAAUAUCUUGCUGAUAACUCUAUAAAAUGAGAGUUAUCCUGACACUAUUAGACUUAAAUCAAGAUUACUUAGAGAGUAAGUGAUAUUUUUUUAAUUGCAUUUUAGUUAUAUUUAGCAUGAAUAUCCAUUUUAGUUUAUUUUUAAUAAAUUACGUUGUUUUAUAAUAAUUUGUGUGCUUAGAUCGUAUGUAUAAUUGUAGGUGAUCGGAAACUCAAAUUUCAAGGGAGGAAUGCUGCUACAAUAGGCUUGCAAAAAUAAAGAAAGAACAUGGUUAUAGAAGAAUUGAAACAAGUCUAAAAUAGUGCAGGUGCUGAAGCCAUUACUAUAACACUGUUGCUAUAGUAAUUCUGGAGCAUUGAUAAAGAAGAUUUCACGCAAAAUACUUAGAAGAUUGCGAUAUGGAGUUUCCUAAAAUGGAAGAUAUGCGCCCUAGACUUUUGGUUGCUCUAAUUCUAAGAUAUAGAAGGAGCCACACUCAAAGAAAAGAAGAGAGUCGUCACCCAAGGAGAAAAACCGCAAAGAAACAAAAGAAAAACAUAAUUCAAGAGAGAGAUUGAAGGCUGCACUAGCGAAGAAAACACAUAGAUCCAUUGAAAAUCAGUCAUUCUUGUUCUUUUCUUGUUUUUAUUUAUUCACGGGGAUGUAUUUCGUGGCUAAAACUCUUUUAUUUAUUUUUCUUUCGCAAAUCAUGAAAUAAAUUUGAUUGUAGUUGAGUUAUGAAUGAUCUUAAUGGGUGUUUGACUGACAUAUUCGUGGUAAUCUGUAUUUGCUGCAGCAGUUUAUCUUAAUUGUAUUUAUUUUCUACGUCAUGUUGCUUUGCCGCUCGUUGUGGCAGUUGCUGUAAUUGAAAAUUGAAAUAAGGUUAUCAAUAGCAUUAAAUACCCACCGCAUGAUUGAUGAUUUUCAACAUAAUUCGUAACCAAUAAUGAUUUUUGUAAUGGUAGUAUGGCACCCACUAGGGAUGACAAUAAAAUUCGGAUUCGGCCCGCAUCCGCAAGGAUCCGGAAGAUCCGGAUCCAAAAAAAUUCGGAUCCCAUGUUAAAAAAUGCGGAUCCGGAUGUAAGAAAUUAAAAUCUGCACGAAUUCGGAUCCGGAUUGAGAUACAAGUGCAUCUGGAAAGUCGGAUAUCCGGAUCCGAUUAAUUUUUAUAUUAAAUUAAAAAAUAUAUAUUAACUUACUUAAAAACAAAUUUAACCCAACUCUCACAUUCACACACACGCUCACAACACUUUACCAGCAGCCACAACCCACAAAUCCCUAACACCCAAAUCCCCCAAAUUCCGUAGGAUGUCGUCGUCUGCCUCACGGCCUCGCCUAAGCCUCGUGUCCAAGCCUCGAUCUGAGUCGGUUGCUGUCGCUACGUGCUGCACGCCUCGAUCUGAGUCAGUUGCUGCCACUACAUGCUCGAUCUGAGUUAGUUGUUGCCGCUACACGCUCGACCUGAGUUAGUUGCUACUGCGCCUCGCCUCGCUGCGUGCUACACGCCUCGAUUAGGUUUUAAUUUGAAAAAAGUGUUGAAUUUUUAAAUUAUAUUUAAAUUAUUAAAUUUAAUUUUUGUUGAUCCGGAUAUUCGGUAUAUCCGCCUGCAAUCCAGACGAAUAUUACCCACAUCUGGAUCCGCAAAAAAAAAUUUCCGGAUACGAAUCCAAAUCCAAAUAUAAAAAUAUCAAUCCGGAUAUACCUGUAUCCGAAUUUUGCCAUCCCCAGUACCCACUGCCCGUGCAAUAAUACAUUGACCAUUGAUGCAAUAAGGUAUGGGGCCAUGAAACUCAUCCAAUUCAUUCAUUCACGUGUCCUGCAUUUAUUAUCUCCACUUCACCUUCUUCAACAUUUAUUGCCACCAUCAAAUUCCACAAUGUUCGCCCUUGAAAGUUUUUAUUAUUCAUGUUCAAGAGGGGUCCGCCUGUAAUAAAGCGCUGCAUAAGAUACAGCGGAAGUUUAAUUUUUUAUUCUAAAUUUAUUGGCCGUUAGAUUACUUUAUAAGCAAUCCAACGGCUUCGUAAUUUUAGGCAUAAAAUAGGUCACCGAAACAGAUGGUGGAACACUGGAAUCGGCAAAUAUCCUGGUAAUUAUCACUUUGCUCCCUCAUCUUUUAACUAAAUAUUAAAGACUUCAUUUAAUUUAGACGACUAUCAAAGACCCCCUAACAUAAUAAUAUAUUUUAAAACAUGUAAUGUUGUAAAUAACGUGAAUAAUAUUUAUAUUAGUGUAAACUAUAUUAAUUAUAAAUCAAUGCAAUCAUUUUUAAUAAUGAAAUUGAUCAUAAACAACUUAUAUCAUUGUUUAUUAUGACAUUAUAAAUCUACAAAUGUUUUGCAAUAUAAAAAUUAGUGAGACCUCUUUAAUUUUUUUUCUUUUGCAAAUUUUUGCCUAUUUGGUCAACUCUAUAUUAUUGAUAGUACCAAGUAUUGUCAUUACUCAAAAUAUUUUUGUUUUCAAUAUUAUUUGUACUAGUGACUAAUAUAAAUAGUACAAUUUAGUUCUGGAUAUGGGUAACUAUAAGAUGAAAAAUCUUAUUAAAAAUAUUUCACACAAAUUUCUAAGAAAUUCAUUAAAUUACUUUUUAUGGUCUCAUUUACUCACUAAUUUGAAGUCACAAAAAAUUCUAUGAAUUGUUAUAGGAGCUUAUACAUGAUUACAUGUAAUGUUAAUAUUUAAUGAUAUUGUUUUAUUACUAGUAUUAUGAUUAAUGAUACUAUAACUCUUAAUAUCCAUUACUAAUGUUGUUAAUAAGUAUCUUUGUUAGCCUUACUAUUAUUAUUGGUAAAUUGAACACAUAUAUGAUAAUUUUAUCAAUAUCACUUUUCUUUUAAUCAAAAUGAGCGUAUGUUCUAAAUAUAACAACAUUUUAUCGUAAUAAACUUUUUAAUAAUUUAUUGAGAAAUGUUGCUAAUUAUCAUUGUAAAUUAUUGUCGACAUUAUAUUAUAAAAGCUAAAUAAUUAAUAAUGUAACUAUAAUAUUACAUUGUUAUUUAAAAUAAAGUAUGUAUCUCUUUGUAUAUUUAUGGGAGUAGGUUUUUGAGUUAAUAUUCGGUGGAUCGUUGGACUUUACCAUAAAGUGCAUGUAUACAGAUUAUCAAAUACCAUUAAAUUAUAGUUUAUAAUGUACAUAUAAAUUGUAAAUUUAAAAAUAUUAUAUAAUAUAUUACUCUAAAUAGUAUUCAAUUAAUUUUUUUUAUUUUGAUAUAACACUAAAAGAAUUUUGCUUCAUCUAGGCAGGAAAACUACUGCCUAAAUGAAAACAUAUUUACCCAUUUUCACAAUUUUUAAUUCUAAUAAUUUUUGUAUAUUAUUUAAAUUUUCAUAUUUUAUAUUAUUAUUCUUGAUACUUUUUUUUCAAAAUAACUUUAUUUAUUGUUCAGAAACCUAAAAAGAAAAUAUAAAAUUUAUUUUUUAAAAUUUCAUCAAAAAACAUAUCCUUUAGGCCUAAGGUUUCGUUUGUCGCUUCAUACAUUAAAAUAUAUAUUUUUUAAUCAUUAUUAAUUUUUUUCAUGAUUAAUGUUCUUAAUUUUUUUCUUGUCUUGUUAAAGUUUUGUAAUUAACUUAAAUUGUAUAACAUUUUGAAUUGUCAUUUCAUUUUUUUAUAAGUCUUUUUUUUUAAUGUUUUAUGCUUCCAAUAUAGAAUGAUUGGCAAGGGAAAAUAUUGCAAAGCAUUUGACGCAGAAACUGCUAUUGGCAUCCUCUCAAGUGGUUGAAUCCAAGUAAGGCUGGUGAGCAGCCCAAGCUUCAGCUGGCUGUCUCCAGAUCAAAGGGGAAAUAGAAAUAAUAAAAUUAGUUUUCUAUAAUCCCUUGGGAUUAUUUUAUCUUUUUUUCUCUAAUGGUGCAUAGUUGAGUAGUGAACAAGAAUUGGCAUUGGUUGUAAAUGAACUUUUUUUUUAAUUUGUUCUCCAAAAGAAAGAUGGUGUAGAAAUAAUUUCUCUUAAAAAUUAUAGCAUUGAAUUUUUCUAUUAGAGAAAAUUAAUUUUAAUAUUUAAUAUAUUUUCUUUUUCCUUGAUUGCAAUGAUUUUCUAAUGUGUUUAUAAAAUUAUUGUUUAAUUUGAGUUACUUUUAUUGUGUUUAAUGUACUUGGUAAAGAUAAAUUAAUGGCGACUUAAUAGAACUGGAUUUAAGUCAAUGUUACUUUGUCAAUCUUAAGCUAAAGAUUGAUGAGAGAUUAAAGAAAUAAUUUUUAAAACUAAAUAUAAUGAUGAAAAUUAUAUGUUGCACAAUUGUUUUUAAAAAAAUCUAAGCACAAUUAUGUAAAAUAAUAAAAUGAGCAUUAAUAUGUAAAAGAUCAAAAGUUUAAAGUAUACAUACGAUUAAAUUCAAGAAAUACCAUGAAGUAACAAAGACCGUUGGGAGCCGGGGGGGAGGGGAGUGGACUUAUACAAAUUCAUAGUGUUGAAAAAAAUUGAGGGUUGCAACAAUGAUUUUUCAAAAUUAUAUUGUAAGUUGAUAUUUAUUAAAAAAAAGCGGGGUCAAACGUAAUUUACCUCAAUAUUUUAAUGUUUUACUAUAAUAAAAUGCGACUCGUAACAACCACCUAAAAUGUUGGCAUACGUAAAAACAUUUGGAAUAUAAAACCAAAAAAAUGGUGGAAGUAACUAUUAAAGAGCUGAACCCAUAAAUUGGAACGACUUACUGAUGAUUUGGUAAAUUUCAAUGGGAAUUAGAGACAUGAAAAAUAAACUUGAAACACACACCUACAUGUUGGAAUUCAAUAAAAAGUCUUGGUAUAUAGAACCAAAAAAUAGUGGGAAAAAAGUGGGAGAGUUAACCUGAAAGUUGGAAUUACACAACGAUAAUUUGAUAAAUUCCAAUGGGAAAUAGGGACUAAGAAUUGAAUUUGAAACUUUCACCCAAAAUGUUGGAAUUCAUUAAAAAAAACCUGGAAUAUAUAACUAAAAGGUACUGGAAAUAAAAGUUGAAGAACUUAACACAAAAGUUGGAAUAACUUAUUAACAAUUUGAUAAAUUCUAAUGACAAGUUGGAAUCUAAAAAAUAAACUUGAAACUUCUAUUCAAAAUAUUGGAAUUCAUUAAAAAAAGUAGAAAUAUAGAACCAAAAAGUGGUGGGAACAAGAGUUGAAGAACAUAACGCAAAAUUGGAAACGGCUCACCCACAAUUUGAUAAAUUCCAACUAUAAGUAGGGAUCCAAAAAGUGAAAUUGAAACAUACACCCGAAAUUUUAAAAUUCAAUAAAAAAAGUAGAAAUAUAAAACAAAAAACUAGUAGGAAAAAGAGUUGAUGAAUUUAACCGAAAAGUACGAACAAUUUACCAGGAAUUUGAUAAAUUUCAACAGGAAGUAGGGAUAUAAGAAGUGAACUUGAAACAUCCACCCAAAAUAUUGAAAUUUAAUAAAAAGAGAAGGAAUAAAUAACCAAAAAGUAGUGGGAAUAUGAAUUGAAGAGCCUAACCCAAAACUUGGAAUAACUUAGCAAGAAAUCGAUAUAUUUUAAAGAGAAGUAGGGAUCUAAAAAUGAACUUAAAAUAUCCAUCCAAAAUAUUGAAAUUCCAUAAAAAGAGUAGAAACAUAAAAGGAAAAACUGGUGGUAAUAACAGUUGAUAACUUUAACCUAAAAGUCGGAAUAACCUAACAAAGAAAUUGAUAAAUUUUAACAGGAAAUGGGGAUCUAAAAAGUGAACUUGAAACUCUCACCCAAAAUAUUAGAAUUCAAUAAAAAGAAUAGGAAUAUAGAAUCAAAAAGUAGUGGCAACAAGAGUUGAUGAACUCAACUCAAAAAUUGGAAUAAUGGACUAAGAAUUUGAUAAAUUCCAAUACGAAGUAGGGCUCUAAAAGUAAACUAGAAAUAUCUACCGAAAAUGUUGAAACUCUAUAAAAAUAGUUGGAAUCUAGGACUUAAAAGUGGUGGGAAAAUGAGUUGGAAUAACUUACCAGAAAUUAGAUAAAGGCUAAUGGAAUGUAGGAAUGUUGAAAGUAAACUUAAAAUAUCCACGUAAAAAGUUGGAAUUUAAUGAAAAAAGUGAAAAUAUAGAACCAAAAACUGGUGGAAAAAUGAGUUGAAAUAACUUACCAAAAUUUAGAUAAAUCGUAACAAAAAAAUAGGAAUUUGAAAAGUAAACUCGAAACAUGCACUAUAAAUAUUGAAAUGUGACAAAAUAAGUGGGAAUAUAGUUAUUUUGUGACUUGUUUAUAAUACUUGUAUAGUUUCUUGUACUAUUUAUAAAUUUAAAAUUAUUAUAUUCUUUUGCUUCAUUUAAUUACAAUUUUAUCUUUUUUUCCCUAUUUUUUUCAUAUUUUUUUCGCAUUAAAAACAAAUUAAAAUGUAAUAUUUAUUAUGUUAACCGGUUAAAAACCGGUUGUACUGGUUGCGUGCAUGCGCUGUAUGAGAUACAGCGCUGCACUGUAGGUUGACUCGUUAAAGAGAUUGUUCUGCUUGGGCCUCUUGGCCCUAGCUAAUGCAUAAUCAUCAAAUCAUUGGCAUGGAAAAGUCUUUUGGUACACAGACAAUUUUGCAUAUGUUGAUCAUUUAAUAGAACUUUUAUCAUUAUAUCUAACUAUUCCUACGAUACAAUAUUUCAUUGGAUAUGAACAUAUAUGUCUUGCCGAGAGUAUACAUAAAGCUUAUAUUUAUUUUUACUACCGUUCAAUAAAAUCAUGCUAUUUAUACAAUCAUCAAAAAAACAAUAUGUAAUUUUUUUAGGAGAAAUUUUUAUUGAAGUAAUUUUGGGAUAAGAACAUUUCGGUUCAGUAGUUUCCAAUGUUAUUUUUCAAGUACGGAUGUAGCUCGUCCAAUUACAUCAAAUAGGUCCAUGAUUCCUCCCAAGUUUUGUUUUGUUCUUCUUCUUUUAAUAUCACAUUACCACAAUCUCUUAAUCAAUUCUAUAAUGGCAAAAUUUAAAUAUUUUGUUUGGAUUUAGAAUAAAUGGAACCUAUUUUUGAAUGAUUAAAAGAAAAUUAACCUCACAAAUACACAUAAGUAAACUCAAACUUUGUGGAAAGAGAAUUAAUUUACUAUUAGGUUAUUGGAUGGUUCUCUUGACCCUUAAUUUUUUAAGAAAAAAAAAGGAGAUUAAGGCCCUAACCCCAUUUGAGAAGUAUCUAAAUGCUCUUUACUCUGUAAUAGUUUUGGCAUAGUCUUACAUUCUUAAAAUUCAUUCAAAUGGAGAAGUUAGUGGACUAAUUUAAAAAAAAAAUAAAGAUCUAAAGUUAUUAACCGUUUUCUAAUUUUCUAUUAAGAAAUUUUUUGCUGGAAUAUGGAAACCUAUAAGCAAUUGCGAAUGUAUUGACCGCAAUUUGCAAAACUCGGUGACUCUGGAAUGAUCUCUCCGCGUACGCGUGAGUGCGUGUCGGUAUAAAUAUGAAGGACUUAUCACAUUGCCCACAUUGACGACCCACCCCAACAAUUAGGUUACAUGCCUCUUUCGUCAUAAAAGAUUAUCAAUUCUUAAUUAAUUUGGCUCUUUUCUGCCGUCCAAAAAAUCUUAAUUUCCCAAUGUUAGAUUUGAAUUGAUUGAAGAGUUUGAAACUAUUGGCACCUCUUUAAUAACUUCUUAAAACUCUUUUCUUAACGCCACCCAUUUAAUAAUUAGAAUAAGUUAAACUUUUUGUUUGCACCUAUUUUUAUUACUUAAAUACCCUUGUUUUCAUUUUCUUCUUUACUAAAAUCCCACAUUUUUCGUUGUAUAAGUGUGCAAUAUCAUAAUAUGGUCUUCUUUCUUUUGAAUUUUAUUUAUUAAAAAAUUUCAUUAAAAUUUGAAAAUAAACCCACAUUAUUAUCUAUAAUUUGUCUAUCUAUAUUUUUCACUACUUAAACCCAUAUGAUUUUAAAAAAAAAUUAUUUUAUCAAAUUAUUAUGAGUAAUUUUCCUAAUGAUAAAAGUGGAGUGGUUAUAGAAAAUUUAUUAACCAGUUAACUAAAACUAAAUAUUGAAGUAAGUAAACUUGUAGAUUUUAUAAUGAAUUAUUAGAUGUUCUUGGUUUUUGCAAAAAAACAUAAUCAGCAUUAAAGAGAUGAUUGUUAUUCUUUUAUAUGCUUAUAAUCAUGACUUAAGUAGUAAAUAUAAAGAAGGGAUUUUAAAGGGUGACAAUAACUCCACUCUUGAUUGAAUUUAAUUUUUUGAUCACGGAAUGCAAAAAUUUCUUUUUUUUUUUCAAAAUACAUGGGGUAUACUAAGGAUAAAAUUAUGUUCUAAUCAUGGUAUCGUAAUCCUCUUUUAUUUUCUAUGAUUCAACCCUUUAUUUUCUUUCUUAUUAAUUUAUUUAUAAGGACAACGAUAAUUUUAUUUUUCCAUUCUUCUACCCUUCUUCUCCAUAUUCUACCCAAUUUUCUCUGUUUAAUCAUUAAUCAACCACUAGUGAUGAACCUCUUAUGAUUAAAAAAACAGUAUUAAUCAACCAAUUAUAAUUAACAACAUCCAACUUCUUUGCAACUAUUGGUUCGUUCCCUUAAUUGCAAGAGCUUGAUCAUUAACAUUUAUUUUUACUCCGUACAACAUUGAUAAUGCCAAAAUUGACCUUACCUAAAUAAGACUAUUUUUUUUUCUUUUAACACCUAUAAAAGUAUUUAAACAUAUGUAGCUAAUUUUUAUGUCGACACAUUUAUUAACAACACUGUUAGUACCAAAAUUGCAUUAGCUAAAUAAGACUAUUUUUUUUUUCCAAACAUCCAUAAAAAUACUUAUCAAACAUUUAGGCUUUAGCUAAUUCCUAUGUUGACACAUUUAUUAGUCUACAAAAUGCCUUCGUUUAGAGUAGUUGCGAAAACUAUUAUGAUUUUUUGUUUUAAUUUUCUAAAUCAAAUCCAUUUUUCUCCAGUUUUUUUUUUCUCCGGUAGCCAUUUGCCCAUACUUAUGUUUUGCCCCCAUCCACCCCUCCCCCCCAAAAAAAAGUCAACAACACAAUUCUUCUAAUGAUCGAUUGAUUUUUUUUAUUUUGCCCCUUAAUUUCCUUCUUUUUUUAAAUUGCACCAUGCUAUUUUCUUGCACUGAUAUUGUUGCUUCUUUUUUUUAUUCAUUUUCUUUUAUUUCUACUUUAACUGCAAAACUACUUUUUUUGGUAAAUAAUUAAUUUGUUGAAUUUUUUCUAUUGUAAGGAAAAAUGUGGCAAGUCAAAUAAUGAGAGCAUGAAAGGAUGUGAGCAUGAGACCGUGAGAACAUUUAAGCAUGUAAGCAUGAGGGCACGUGAGCAUGGGAGCAUAUGAGUAUGUGAGCAUGAGAUAAUGAGAGCAUGUAAGCAUGACAACAGAAGAGCAUGUGAGCAUGCUAGUUCAGUAGAAAGUUUAAUAAGUCAAUUAAACAUAACUAUAUACGAGCAUGAGAGUAUAUGAUCAUGAGAUAAUGAAAAACAUGUUAGCAUGAGAGCAUGCAAGCUCAGUAGGAAACUAAUAAAUCAAUUAAGCAUGUUACAUGAAAGCAUGAGACCAUGAGAGCACGUGAUCAUGAGAGCAUGUGACCAUGGGAUCACGAGAGCACGCGAGCAUGUACCAGAGCAUGAGAGCAUACAAGCUCAGUAAAAAGCUUAAUAAGUCAAUUAAGUACAACUACACUCAGUAGGAAGUUUAAUAAGUCAAUUAAGCACAGCUACACUCAGUAAGAAGCUUAAUAAGUCAAUUAAACACAGUUACAUAAGAGCAUACAAGCUCAGUAAGAAGCUUAAUAAGUUAAUUAAGCUCAAUUAAAUGAAAGCAUAAAGUCAAAUGAGCAGAACUGUUAGAGAGAAUGAUUGCAACACAACAUUGUGAAAACUAGGCACCAAUAGCACAAGAGCGCUACCAUGGGAAAUGAGUUUAACUAAAAAACCCCAGCUGGUGAAUCUAAUAACUAGGCACCAAUAGUUGGAAACAUUAUCAAAGCCUAGUAAAAGAAAUUAGAAGCUCUUGAAGCACAAAGCGAGAUAAAAAAGGAGAUAGAUGUUGGAGAUAAGUAUUGAUAUUAGAUAAAACUUAAUCUAAGAAGGAGAUAAAUAUUGAUGUUAGAUAAAAGUUUAAGUGAUAAAGAUGAUCAACAAGAGGAAUUAUCGAGGAAUCGAGAUAUAAAUUUUAUUAUAAAUAGAGAAUCCAUGAUGCAUAGAGGUAUAAGAGUAAAUAGUUAGACCAAAAAAAAUAAAAAAAAAAGAGCUUCAUUGUAAUUCUUAUUUAAUAGUGAACAUUACUCUUUCUAUACCCAUAGAUAUAGCUAAGUGUUAAACCACAUAAAUUCUCUAUGUUUUUUUUUCUUAUAUCAUCACAUUAUUUAAUUCUCUAGUUGAUUAGAAAUUAGCGUCAACAUUUAAAAAAAAAAGCAAUGCCCUUAAUUGCAAAUCACAUUUGGGUAUUUUGUAAUUAAAAUUUUUGAUAAAAUAUUAGUUUGCAGAGUAUUUUGUAGGGUGAAAAUACUCUCAUCCAAUUUUUAAUUAUCUAAUUAUUUAUUAAUUUGAAAUAGUCCAAAUUUAUUGAAACGUUUUAUUAUUUAUAAUUUCAGUACACAACAAGGGCUGCAAUGUUAAUAACCAAUUUAACGCAUCCACCUGCUAAAACUACUGUUCCAUAAAAUCUAAUGGUGACAACACAAACACCAAAAAAAAAAAAAAUUUGGGGGUAUUUUACAACAGUUGUAGGGUAGUUAGACCGGUCUACUAAUAGUUUAAAUACAUGUACUUUUACUACAAAUUAAAUAUGAGUAUAAUUGGAAAAUUUAUAUUUACUGGACAUGAGGCCUUCACCCUUAUAUUUAAGAAAAUAUAAAUGCUUCUAAUAAUAUUAGAGAAAGUAUAUUUAUUAUUGCUCAUAAUUGCAAGAGAAGAUUCUUAUUAAAUGCAGGUUUAGUAUAACUUAUUUAAUGAUCAUAAGUGAUUAUGUAAUUUCUAAAUUUUUUAAAAUUUUUUUUGUAUUGUCUAGCAGUACUUUGAGAGGAGUUUUGGAGAUUAAGUACCUAUUUGCUAUGAUUUAUCUAAUGGUCAUAAAUACUUAUGUAAUUCCACAAGCUCUUUUUAAAUUUUUCGCUUAUUUAAUUAUUUUUUUAGUAGAGCUUUUGAAGAUUAAAUGAGCUAUAUUGAGCUUGAAUUUUAGGUUUUUGAGACUAGAUGUUUAAUUUUAUUUUUAAAUUAUAUAUCAUAUAGUUCAGCCUCUUUUUUAAAAUGUUAAAAUACCUAAAAUGUCAUUUACUUAUUUGUCAAACAUAUUUCAUUCCUUUCAUAACAUAUUUUUAAAAAAGCUUACCAAUUAAAAUAAUUUUAUAAUUUCAAUAAAAGCUCUUGUUGACAACCAAUUUUUUUUUCUUUUUUGGUAAAAACUUUAUUUAUAAAAGCUUUAAAUAACCUUAUUUGAAAAGUUAUACUAAAAAGAGUCCAAAUAACCUACUAUACCUCUAUUAACAACUCAAAUUCUGAGCUUUUGAAAGUAGAUCUUAAAAAGCAUUUUUUAAUAGUUAAAUUAUCUAAAAUAUUCUUUAUUUGUUACACAAUAUUAUUUCAUUUAUUUCAUAAUAUAAUUUUAGAAAAAUUAUCAAUUGAAAAUAAUUUUUUUAUAUUUUUUAAUAAAAAUUCUCUUUGAUAACUAAAUAAUUAAAAAAAAUUUAAUAAAAACUCUAAUUUUUAAGAAACUUUGAAUUGAAAGGAGAAGCCUUAGGAGUUAGGAGGGUGGAAAUAUCAACUGAAACAUGCAAAACAUGAGAUUUGAUGAUAAUCAAAGUCAAAUCAUCUAUUUAAGCUGGAACAAAUUGGAUGGCGUAAAUAAUCGGUGAGGGGAGGUGGGUAUAAUUAAUGAGAAUGACUAAAAUUAAAAAUUUAAUUUAAUUAACAUAGUUGUAUUGUCGGCUAUUUAUGAUUGGUUUUUGUAGUUUGUUUGGUAAACACUAGCUGCUUAAUUUGAAAGUUAAAUUGAUUUGAUUUUACAUUUAUAUAGUGAAAAAUCUAUUAUAUCUUUACUAAAUUUGCCAAAAUUAUUAUUUAAAAAUUAUAUUUACUACGUAAUAAUAACUUUUAUUUCAUAAUUAUAAUUUUUUUUUAUAACAGUUGUGGUUUAAAAGUUACAACACCUCAAUCCAAACAGGACCUUGGAUAUUUGCCCUUUUCACACAUUGGCAAAAAUUCAGUGCGUAAACAAUAAAAGAAAAGAAUUUUUUGUUGGGAGUACAGAAUGUAUGUUUAGUGUUUACCACUUACCUUAACUAUUGCAUAAUAUUGGCAUCAAGUACCAAAAUUAGUACUUAGCCUUAGAACUCUGCAACACAUACUUUUAAAAUAAAGAAAAUUGAGGGCAUGUUUGGAAUUGCUGUAAUUUAAAGAAUAAUUUGUUUAUACUCUGAUGAAAAAAUAACCAAUUAUACGAUACAACAAUUAGGAGUUUGGUUAAUUUUAUUGUUAAAGGUGCUAUAAGCGUCAAAAACACUUUGUAUGCAUUUAGUUAUUAAAAUGUUUUGAUGCGAUAUAAUGACCAUAAGAAACAAAGAAUAAAUUGCUCACACACAUUUUUUUUAAAAUUUUUCUAACACUCAAAUUUGUACAAUAUGAAAAAGUAAACCACUAAUUGAAAAUUCUUUGAACUUUAUAAUUCAUAGGAAUAUGUUAAUGAACAUAUAUAUGUUAAUGAACAUAAAAAUAUGCAUCAACUACAAUUAUCCUGGUAAAUCAUAUCAUAAAUUGCUUUUAAAAGAAACCCUACUACCUCUUUAAUCAUGGAGCUUGGGACAAUGUAGCCAUUUUUAAUGAUAUUAAAACAAGGUCUGAGGAAAUCCAUCAUACUGUUACCAUGCCUCUUCUUAUGGGAAACAUACGUGUUGAAAAAUGGAUUGGAUGGACUCCUCCUACCUCGCCUUGGUGCAAACUAAACACCGAUGGAACUAGGAAGCAAUCUGGAGCAGCGAGUGCUCUACUUCGAGACCAGAAUGGCAGAUGGAUUAUUGGCUUUGGCAUGAAUAUAGGCAUGUGUUCAGUUAUAAUGGCGGAACUUUGGGGUCUUUAUCAAGGACUGUGCAUGGCCUGGCAGCAAGGAUGUCGUUGGAUAUCUGUUGAAGUGGAUAGCCUUGUGUCACACAACUAGUCUCAAAUCCAGUGGCUCACACAUAUGAAUAUGCCCCUCUCCUUCAAGCCAUAAAGGAUCUCAUCAAGCAAGGUUGGUGUUGGGGAAAAAUCAGGUUUUUAAAUUUAUAUAAAACCUUUUGAAGAUCGCUCUCAUAUAAUAUAUAAGAAUUCGUAUUCUAGAAAUCGUACCUUGAAAAUCCGAGUUGGCUUUUUCCGCUGAAGUGAUUUAGGCUCCUAGAUCACGAUCCCCCACCACCACUCCUGUUAGAUCACGAUCCGUCACCACCACGCUUGUUAGAUCACGAAUUGUCACCAAUGAUCUUCCAGGUUAUGACUCAGGUUCGAUCUGCACUUGACGUGUGGGCGCCUUUAUCACUACCAAAGCAACUAGCAUGAGAAAAUUUUUCUCUCAACAAUAGAGAGAAAAAUCUUAUUCUCCGAUCUGUAUAAAGUGGCUUCACUCUUUUUCUUUAGAGAAAAAUAAGCCUUUUAUAUCACCCUUUAGUGAAAACCCUAGGCUCCAAAUAAUUCAAAAACCAAAACCCACGUUAUUUGCUUUUUCAAUAGGGGACCCACCUUGUAAAAUAACAUAAGGCCCCUUAUACAAAAGCUAAUUAAAUGGAGCCUCCCACUAAAUGAUAUAUUUAGGCUUUUGACCCAAAUAGCUAGUUAUCUUACUUAUUAGUCCAGUAGUGGUGCAGUCAAUUAAAUGAGCUAACCCGGGGAUCAUUUGGGAACAUACAAUAGUGGCUACAAUAAUUAGGCAUGUAAUUAAACUAGCCCAAUUAUUUAAUUCCAAAUCUACUCCACUAAAAGAUUGGAACUGACUUCCAUAAUUGUAUGCUCGAAUAAUAAUUCGUCCCAAGCCACAUUGAUUUCUUUACUGCACAAUCCUUUGUACCACAUCGUUAAUUAAAUUGAUAUCUCAACUGUCCAAUCAAUUUAAUAACAUCUUAUUCCUUGAUCCUUACUGGUUUUCUCUAAUGAUCAUUUUCAACAUACUAAAUAUGUUGACACACUCUGGCCAGAGAAUUCUAUGAUCAAGUGCCGAAACCCCAUCAAGAGAUGUGUUGUACAAAUUCUAUAUUGUUAAUCUAUAACUCCAAUACUCAUAAUUGCUCCCACCAAGAUACCGGGUAAUCUUGACCACAAGGAUGUGUCGUGCCCAUUGGUAACUCAAAUGGAAUAACAAUUACAAUCAUGAAAUCAUAAUUAACUCAAGAUUAAGAUUACAGUAAAAUCAACGCCUAUGAGAUUUAAUAAGUCUGACAGUUAUUACAAAGUUAAUUAAAUCUCAUAUGUGAUCCUGUUCAAUGUAGUUGUACUACAUCAAUAAAUUCAUACAUGAUUAAGACAAAUCAUUCAAUGAAUUUAUUACAGUCUAUACCUAAAUAAAGUGCCCAACUUUAUUUAUCAACUGCGAACUAAAUUUAUUUAAUCAUAAGAUAACUUGUAUUUAUGUCUUCUGUGAAUCCACAUGGUGAUCACAUAAAUACAUAUAAUAUGAUUAAAUGGACUUUAAUACAAGUAUUAAUGCAAUUAAGAUAUUUGAAUAAAAUAGCUCAUUUAUUUUAUUAAUCAGAAAAAUAGUUUAUUACAAUUAAAUAAACACAUAUGCUUUUAAAGAGCAUAUUUUCCCAACAGUUGGCACAUCACCGUUCGACAUGUUUUUCGUGAAACAAAUCAUGCUAUUGAUUUCUUAGCGAAUUAUGCUCUCUCUGCUCCCUUGGGCUUUCAUAUUUUCUAUAACCCCCCUCCUAGUUUGGCUUCAAUUAUCACUCGUGAUAUGUAUGGGGUAGCUUAUUCCCGUCUAAUUUUAUCCUAACCCUUUUAGAGACCCAUUAUAUAUAUAUAAAAAAAAAGCAACCCUACUACCUGGUGCUAAAAUCGAGAAAGGAUGAUUGUCACUCCAACUCUAAACAUACUUCUAAUUUAUUAUUGUUUGUCACAAAUGAAAGAGAAAAAGAAAAUUAAUUAAAAGGCAGGAACUUUUUAAAACACAAGAAGUACGAAAAUAAAAUUUUAAAAAUGAUGCCUCUCCGACGAAGCUACGGUGCCCCGGGUGCACGGUACCCUUAUUUUUGAUAAAUUACUUUGCAGUCCCUCUUGUUUGUUGAAAAGUGAAAAAAUUAGAAGUUUUGAAAUUUUAAUAUAUAAGUCCAAAAUAUUUCUACUAUUUACACUUAAGAGUAUAUUUCGAUUAUUUAUAUUUGAAUACUAAACCAUAAUUGAUUAUUAUGAAAUUUUUUAACAUUGUCAUUUGGUCAUAUUAUUAUUGAUAAAUUAAAAUUUAAUUAUAUAUUUAAAUGAUUUAUUAUUGAUUAAAUAGAUGUUAUAUUGUUUCUAAAAAUUGUUUAAUAUUAUUGAUAAAUUAAUAUAUUUUAUUUUAUAUUUAAAUUAUUUAUUACAGAUUAAAUUAAUAUUAUAUUAUUUUCAAAAGAUAAAAAAAUAUUUUAUGUAUUAAAAUUUGUUUUCAGGUUAUUGGCCUUAUAUUGUCAUUAAUUUUAGUAGUAAAUUAGAUCAAUUGAUCAAAAUAUAAAAUUUAAAAAUUAUGCAAAAUUAUUUGUCAAAUUUUUAACUAUUUUGCUUUUUUGAAACACAACGGGGAUGUCAAUGUUAAGAACCAAAGAGAAUACAUCCAUGCCAUUGAAACAAAUUUUGCAUUAAAUCUAAUGGGCAACUCAUAUAUGGACAAAAUGUGGGAGACCAUGCACUAGGUGCACGGUAGCUGGACCUCUACUUUUGUCUCUCAUCCCGUAAUUUCUAUCAUAUACUUUUCACCGAAAAAUAUUAGCUCAAAAUAACAGCGAGAGUGGCACCGUGCUGCCACAUGUAUAAAUAAUGCAGCAGAUUAUAUAGAAAUUAUAAAUUUUAACACUGCUAAUAGCCUAAUAACAAAUCAAUUUCUUCAUUAUCUAUGAGCACCGAUCUGAACUUAGUACCUCUUGUUUCCGCUCAAUAAAUUUUACUAAUUUAAUUAACAUACAAUGACAGGAAACGAGAGGAUAUACUCCAUUUACUAACUAGUCCUCGUAACAAAAAUUACUCCUUCAUUCACUACAAGGAUUUAUUACUCAUACUUGAGAAACUUCUUCGUGUUUUGCCUAACUUUAGCACGUCGGGCCUAACCUUAACUACCGAAGGUAAAGACUUCAUUCAAAUUUGAGACAGAAUUAAUUCUUCAUAGUGUACUAGAAAACAUCACAAAAUGUCACUGCAAUUUAAGAUCUGGAAAGAGAUCUUAGAUCAAAAACCUAAUGACUUUAUUUAACAGAAGAAAAGUACUAAAACAAAUUUUUUUUAAAAAAAAUCAUAAUAAAUGAACAUAAAACACAAUAAACCCUAUAGAAGUCAUUCCUAGAAAAUAUUUCGUCAAAGAGCCUACACAAAAACCACGACCAUAGGUCUAUAAGAACCUCCUCGCACCACCAUAUCAAAACUCUAUCGAAUUAGAAAAUAGGAAUAUGUGUGUGUGUGUGUGUGUGUGUAUAAAAGGCAGCUGUAUUAUGCACUAUGAAAGUCUAAUAACUCGGCAUCAUCCAAGUGACAGUGUUUACAUUCUCUGAGAUGACCCCACAAUAAUGGUACAAGUGUGACUAGUUGAAAGGUCGUGGAAGCUAUUAACAGCUUUUCACCAGCGAUAAUUAGUUAAUGGAGCCACCUCCACAUUGCACAUGAAGCUUUCUAUUUUCCCCAAGUCCCCACCUACAAACCUCCAAACACUCUCAUAAAUCCCUAAUGCAUUCCCCUCCUAUUUAUUAACCUUACACCAACUUUAGCAAAACGAAACAAAAGCAACACGGAUUAUUCUUUUUUUCCUUUUUUUUUUUGCCCUUUGUGAGCUAGCUAAAGAGGAAGUUUGAGGUUGUAUUUAUUAAAAUAUAUUUUUCCUUUUUGUUGUAUCUGAGUGAUCUAAGCAGAUGGGUAUCGUCUCUUUGAUAACAGGAAGGCCUGGCUCAAGUGGGUUUGGUUCAGCUUCAACUGCUGAGCAGGUUACUGAUGGGAUUGAUGCAACCAAUCUCACUGCUGUCAUCACAGGUUAGCUUCUCUUAUAGCUUUAGCCUUCAAAAGUGUUGAAAAUUGAUUAAAAAAAAGAGGAAAAAAGAAAGGUAGCUUCAAAUUUGGUGGCUUAACCAUCAAAUUUGUUGACCAAAUUUGUUGAUCAAAUUUGAUGGCUAAGCCACCAAUUUUUAUCAAGGUUGGUGGGCUUGAUUUUAGGCAAAAUCUUGCCUAUAAAAGGAAGCUCUCAUUUAAGAGCUUGGUAUCCUAAAUCCCAGAGAAAGAAUCCAAGUUUUGGUGAGAAAUUAAGAGAGAGAAAUAUUCUUAAGCAUGUAGUUAUAUUGAAGGAGCAUUUGGCUCCUCAAUAUGGGUAUUACGGGUUUACUUCGUUAAGGGAUAUUUCUCAGGAUUAUGUAUUUGAGGCUUAGGUGAGAGAAAAUUAUUUCUGAGAGUGGUUGUAAUAAUUUUCCACACAGUGAUUAUUUUUCUCUGGUUGUCUCUCGACAACGGCCGUGGGUUUUCUCCGGAUUUGGAGUUUUCCACGUAAAUCUUGUGUUGUGUGAUUGGUGUAUUCUCCAUUUAAUUUUUCUAUUAAUUUGUUGCUUGAUAAAUUGCUUGGAGUGAUCUUGGGAGGAAGCUCAAUUUCCUAACAGUGGUAUCAGAGCCAUUGAUUGAAGUUUUGGUGUCGGGGUACUGUUCACAUAGACAGUAUUAUUCACGUAUACGGUACUAUUCACGUGAAGUAGUGAGAACCAAUCCAAAUAAUCUGUGGUGAAGAGAAUAGGAAGCAAAUAUGUCAGCAGCUGGUAUUUUUCAAACUUGGUUAGAGUUUGAUGUUGUUGAAAAAUUAAUGGGAGAAUGAUUUUAUUGGCUUGUGGAGAAUUCAAGUCAAAGGUGUAUCCAAUCUGGUAUGCACAAAGAUUUGAAGGUGUGGACAAUUUUGGCACCUCAAGAAAAUUGUCAAGAAGGCAGAGUGGGCUCGGCAAAUUACUCCAGAAUCAGUAAAGAAGAUACUGAUAUUCUCACAGAUGAUGAGUUUCCUUUUAAUAGGAGGUUGGGUUAGUUCUUUUGGCAUGUAGAUCUCCAAGUUGCCAUGAAAGAGAACAUGUUAUGAUCAGCGAGGUCCACAAGUUUGCACGCGGGCAUUGGCUUGGUAUAAAUGCAAGGUGUGUGGUGGAAAAGUUUAUGUCAUGGCUGAACAAUUCUCAAGGAAACCAAGCAUGAGAAUUGCACCAUAAAUUUCAGCAGGAUAUUUUGACAUGUACCGAAAAAAUUUUUAGAAUGGUUGAUUCUAAGUGGUAUACUCUUUAUGGUGGAGUAUGAUAAUUCUCUAUGUUGAGAAUUAUGACUGUUGGUGAAGACAGUGUGUUUGUAGUAGUGGCUAUGAAUUUUUUUUUAAUCAAGGUGGAGAUUGUUGAAAAUUGAUUAAAAAAAAGAGGAAAAAAGAAAGGUAGCUUCAAAUUUGGUGGCUUAACCAUCAAAUUUGUUGACCAAAUUUGUUGAUCAAAUUUGAUGGCUAAGCCACCAAUUUUUAUCAAGGUUGGUGGGCUUGAUUUUAGGCAAAAUCUUGCCUAUAAAAGGAAGCUCUCAUUUAAGAGCUUGGUAUCCUAAAUCCCAGAGAAAGAAUCCAAGUUUUGGUGAGAAAUUAAGAGAGAGAAAUAUUCUUAAGCAUGUAGUUAUAUUAAAGGAGCAUUUGGCUCCUCAAUAUGGGUAUUACAGGUUUACUUCGUUAAGGGAUAUUUCUCAGGAUUAUGUAUUUGAGGCUUAGGUGAGAGAAAAUUAUUUCUGAGAGUGGUUGUAAUAAUUUUCCACACAGUGAUUAUUUUUCUCUGGUUGUCUCUCGACAACGGCCGUGGGUUUUCUCCGGAUUUGGAGUUUUCCACGUAAAUCUUGUGUUGUGUGAUUGGUGUAUUCUCCAUUUAAUUUUUCUAUUAAUUUGUUGCUUGAUAAAUUGCUUGGAGUGAUCUUGGGAGGAAGCUCAAUUUCCUAACAAAAAGUUCAACAUUAUGGUAUUUGGUGGUUUCUUGGACACAUGUGACUCUUUGCGUGCAUCUUUCAAUCAACUUAUUGUUUUCUUUAUUGUUAAAUCUUUUUUUGUGGUGAAGAAUAUGGAACUUUUAUUCAACUAAUUUGUAAUGCCGGCUCUACUACGUUAGUUGAGGCCUUUGGGGAAACUAUGCAUUAGGUUUUAUUUAUUUAUUUGUCAAAGUAAAAUUUUUAAAUUAAAAUUGUAGUUUAAAGCUUUCCUUUCUUGUUUCUUCACAUGAAAAAUCAAUCCUUAUGUGCCAAAAAUAAAAAUAUAUAAUCGUUUACAUUACGUUCUCAUGCUCAAAAUUAUAUAUAAUUCACAAAGGGAUAAAUGUGUCCUUUCAUAUUUUAUUUAGGAAUUUAUUAGAAGAAGUAUAAUUUAAGAAUUUAUGUAAGCAAAUGUUUAUUAAUAUAAGUUUUAGUAUUUUGAUUGAAUUUUUCAAAUAUAAGAAAAUGGGAUCUUUAACUGCAUCCGUUGAGGCACAUACUUGCCUGGGCUUUUGGCCGAUCAUGCAAAUUUGGAUCCAUAUCCCACUGACGUUUGUGUUAUGCCUCCCAGCCCCAAUCUAACCCAUUAACUAGUAAAUAAUAAAACAGGAUUAGAGCUAUUAGCACCCCUACAUUAUUCUCAUAAAACCUCACUUUAAAUAAAAUUACAAUUAAGGAUAAUUGAAAAUUAAACACAUAUAAAUUUUUUUUCCCAGCAAAUUAGUUAAUUCAUAAUCAAUAUUUUUCAAAAAAAAAAUCUAUAUGUUACUUCCUAUCUAAUUAAAAUAAAUUGUAUAAAUUUAGAAUAAUUUAUUGUUCUCUUUUGAUUUCUUAUUGAUUAAAUAUUUUAUACUUAAAAUUGCUUUGAAAUUAUAAUUUGAAAUAUGUGUUAUUUCAACCAAUGAUUAAUACUAAAAAACUUAUCACCCAUACAACUUUUUAAUUUGUGUGUAGAGUAAUAAUAAAAUUGAAAAUAAUUAAAAAAAUAGCACAAUAAUACUUUGAGUUUUAACAAUAAAAUAAAUCAAAUGAAAAAUGAGAAUUUAAAAAAGUGUAUCUAAAAAAAUGAGUAUUUUCGGAAAUAAAAUAAAUAUAGUUUAAAAAAGGGGUUCAAUGAGAAAAUCAGAGGGGUGCCAAUAGUCCAACAGUCCAACUCAUAAAACAGAGGGAGAAGUAUAGGCUUGUUUCGUCAUUGUCUUUGGCCAAUCAUUUUCCGUUUUGCGAAAAUAAUAAAAUGAAAAACAUGUUCUGUAGAACACUUUCUACACAUCGUUUUUCAUUUGAUAGAAAUUGAUGGUAUCCAUUUUCUACUUUUUGUUGAGAAAAGCAGACAAGGAUUAAUUGUCGUUUCAAUUUUACUGCAUCGGAAAUUGGACAAAGUCUCCACAAACUUUUUGGUUUUACUUCAUCAUACUUGCUAUGCCCCAUAUGUCUUCCUUUUUUAUUUAAAAUCUCACAGCAAUUAGAAAAAUAAUAUAUGGGUCCAAAUAUCUUUUAUUUUAUAAUUGCUUCACACAAAUUUUACAAUUUUUAUUUUAAACACUACUUUUAAAACACGUUACUAAAACGCGUUUUUAUAUUCACCAAAAAUUAGUAAUUUUUUAUUAUUAAAAAAAUACAAAAACACUAUUUGAAAAAUACUGUCAAAUGCACCCUUAACUUGUCAAUCAAAUUUAUAAUUCAAAAGUAAUUUUCAAAAAUUGAGUGUGUUUGGUAUUAUUUUUUAAUUGGUGUUUUAUAUACUACUUCAAAAAAAAAACAUUCUUGAUGUGACAUUUUUUAAAUUAAAAAUAUGUUGAAUGGUUUGUUAGGGAUGAUAAUGGGGUGGGGUGGUGUGGGGGUGGAGAGGCCCAUUCCAUUUCCCACUUUAUUAAAAAUUUCGUCUCAAUUUUCUACCCUAUUCCUCAAUAAUUUUAGUGGGGUGGGGAGGGGAAAUCCCUAUGUGGGAAAUGAUUUCUCCAUCUUCACCCCAUUCUCAAUUUAUUUAUUUUAUAGUAAAUAUAGAUACAUGAUUUCAAAAAAUUAAAAAUUAAAAACUUAAAUAAAAUUAUUACCAUAUUAUAAAGUAUUUAAAUUAUUUAAAAAAUCUCCAAAUGUUUGAAAUAAUAUCUUAAAAUGAUAUAAAAUUUUUAAAAAAAAUGUUUGAAGAGAACAUUAUCUUAAGAGAAAAAAAAAACAUAACAAUAUUUUAGGGUUGAAAAAAAAUUAUAUUGUAGAAUUUUCUAAGUUAUACCUAUUAUAUAAAGUAAAAAGAAAAAGAAAAUUUAUUAACUAACAUUGUAAUUCAUAAAGAAAAAAUUAUUAAAUAAAAAUUAGAAAAAAUAUUCAUAUAUAAUGGGGGAUUUGGGGUNNNNNNNNNNNNNNNNNNNNNNNNNNNNNNNNNNNNNNNNNNNNNNNNNNNNNNNNNNNNNNNNNNNNNNNNNNNNNNNNNNNNNNNNNNNNNNNNNNNNNNNNNNNNNNNNNNNNNNNNNNNNNNNNNNNNNNNNNNNNNNNNNNNNNNNNNNNNNNNNNNNNNNNNNNNNNNNNNNNNNNNNNNNNNNNNNNNNNNNNNNNNNNNNNNNNNNNNNNNNNNNNNNNNNNNNNNNNNNNNNNNNNNNNNNNNNNNNNNNNNNNNNNNNNNNNNNNNNNNNNNNNNNNNNNNNNNNNNNNNNNNNNNNNNNNNNNNNNNNNNNNNNNNNNNNNNNNNNNNNNNNNNNNNNNNNNNNNNNNNNNNNNNNNNNNNNNNNNNNNNNNNNNNNNNNNNNNNNNNNNNNNNNNNNNNNNNNNNNNNNNNNNNNNNNNNNNNNNNNNNNNNNNNNNNNNNNNNNNNNNNNNNNNNNNNNNNNNNNNNNNNNNNNNNNNNNNNNNNNNNNNNNNNNNNNNNNNNNNNNNNNNNNNNNNNNNNNNNNNNNNNNNNNNNNNNNNNNNNNNNNNNNNNNNNNNNNNNNNNNNNNNNNNNNNNNNNNNNNNNNNNNNNNNNNNNNNNNNNNNNNNNNNNNNNNNNNNNNNNNNNNNNNNNNNNNNNNNNNNNNNNNNNNNNNNNNNNNNNNNNNNNNNNNNNNNNNNNNNNNNNNNNNNNNNNNNNNNNNNNNNNNNNNNNNNNNNNNNNNNNNNNNNNNNNNNNNNNNNNNNNNNNNNNNNNNNNNNNNNNNNNNNNNNNNNNNNNNNNNNNNNNNNNNNNNNNNNNNNNNNNNNNNNNNNNNNNNNNNNNNNNNNNNNNNNNNNNNNNNNNNNNNNNNNNNNNNNNNNNNNNNNNCUUUUUUAUAUAUAUAAAAGAGAAUUUAUGUAUAAAUAAAACAGGUUAUUAUCUUUUUAUUGCUUAACUUAUUGAGAAAUAUAAGUGCAACAAGUAUUGUUCCAUAACAUUUUACUACUAAAGAAUUGUAAAAUCUUAGAUUUUAUUAUUUUUCCGUAAAAAUUGUUAGUUAAUUGUUGGUUAACUUUUAAGAUACUAAUUUUGCCCUUGCUUUGAAAAGCAUACAAAGAAUAUUGAUGAAUUUACAAAACAUUAAUACAAAGUAUAUUAACAUUUUUUUUUUAUCAAUACCGAUCAUAAUAUCUUUCUAAUUAAUAAUUUUACCCUUAAUAUUCAAUGAAAUUGUCGUUUUGUUUUUACUUUACCCCAAUUACAUCUACAUGAUGUUUGCGAUCAAUUAACCGUUAACUAAUCAUUAUAAUUAAAUUUAUAAUUAUUUAGUAGUAAAGUGUUAUAGUACAGUCAUUAGUGCACCUAAGCAGUAAAAAGAUAACAUAAGCAGUAAAAAGAUAAUAACUCAAAUAAAAAUAUUUGAACACAAUUAAGAUAUAUAUUUGGGGAUAAUUAAUUGAUGAAGGAACAUGCUUGCAGGAGGGGCAAGUGGAAUUGGUUUGGAGACAGCAAGGGUCUUGGCUCUACGUAAAGCUCAUGUUAUUAUUGCUGCAAGAAACAUGGCAGCUGCAAAUGAAGCAAAACAGCUUAUUCUAAAAGAAGAUGACACUGCUCGUGUUGAUACUCUGAAACUUGAUCUUUCCUCUAUUGCUUCUAUUAAAGAUUUUGCUCAGAACUUCAUUGCUCUUAAUCUUCCCCUCAACAUCUUAAUGUAAUUUUACUCGCCCCUCUUUCUCGAAAUAUUACAUAACUAUCUACUGAUGUUUCUGAGAAACAAUAAAAGCAUACUAUAACAUGCAAAAAUUAAUUUAAUGCAGAAACAAUGCUGGAAUCAUGUUCUGUCCCUACCAGAUUUCUGAAGAUGGAAUAGAGAUGCAAUUUGCAACAAAUCAUAUUGGUGAAUACUUUAAUUUGAAGCUGUAUUGGUUGUUAUUAAUUAACUAGCUAAAUUAGUAUUCAACUUUAAAUAUUACUUUUGCAGGGCAUUUUCUUUUAACAAAUUUGCUUCUGGACACAAUGAAUCGCACGGCUAAAGAAACGGGUAUUGAGGGCAGGUCCGGCAGGACAGUGAAUCUAUCAUCAAUAGCCCACCAAUACACAUACAAAGGUGGCAUUCGGUUUCAGAAGAUCAAUGACAAAGCAAGGUACGUUUUGAUCAUAUAAUAACAAUUAAAUCAGCUAAAAAUUUCUUCUCAUGUACGUUAUAAAUUUUGAUUUCAUCAUAUUAAUGCGUUAUUAAAUUGUAACGUAUUAUCACUGGGCAAUUAUGCUAAUUGAGUUGAAAAGUUAGUGAAAAAGAAAAAGAUAAAACAAAAAUCAUGGAUCUAUGAUGAUUGUUUUCUUUUUUAACAAGCUAAUAUUAUUAUGUUAUAUGCAAAGGUCAUUAAGAAAUUCUCUAAAUACCUUGUUAUUGUCAAAAAAAAUUUAUUGACAAAUUAAUUUUAGCUAAUUCAUAAUUUAACUUCAAUCCACGACAAUAACCGAAAUGAACAGACAGACUAGCUAGCAAGGUACUAGCCUUGUAACUGCCUCCAUUUAAUGCUAAUUAAGCAAAACUCAAAGAAACUACUGCUGAUGAUCAUGAUAAUGUCCAAAACCCGAGCUGUAAAAAUUAGGAAGAGCAUCAUUGGAAGAAGGAGGAAUCCCAAGAGGUAAUUUGCUUUGAUGAUGAUGAGGAUUAAUAUUUUGAUUAUUCACACCAAAAAAUGGUGAAGGAUUAUUUUUGUAAUCGAUCAAAAUCUUGUUAGCUUGUUGUUCCACAUUCUUCUUUAGCUCUUCCAUCGCGGUCUUCAAUUGUUCAAGUUCAUGCAAUCCUAAUUCGUUUAUAGGAGCUUCCCACCAACAUUGGCGGCAACUUGCUUUCCUUAUCUCACUCAGCACUUCACCAUGCUUCUUCUCAACUUCUAGUUGAUGAAGCACUUGUGUUAGUUGCAUGUUGAGCUCUCGAAUGUUAGCAUUUCGAUGAGCUUCGAUAAGCCUAUCUGUGCUAGACUCCGAAGGCGGGUUAGGAUUUCGGGCAAGAUAAAGAUCAAGGAUUGAAUCAACAUUAGGGUGGCCGAAAGAGAAGGCCUUGUUGGCAGGAGAGAAGACUAUUAGGGCAAUAUCAACACCACAAAGUGUGCUAAGUUCACUGGCUUUUUUGAACACGCCGGCACGGCGUUUGGAGAAAGUUACUUGAAGAUUAUUUUUCUUUGGUAUUUUUGAAAUUGCAAUCUUUUGGCGACCCGCACAAGGCUUCUUCAUCUCCAUUGAUACAAAUUAAAAUCAAAGAAUACUAAAAAAAUUAUAAAAUGUUCGUUUACUUUUCUCUUAUAUAUAUAUAUAUAUAUAUACUAUUUGUUGUGGUAGCUGUUGGGGAAACACAAUAGUAUUUAUAGGGUUAAUCUACUUGAAGUUUGCCUUAUAACUUAAUUAUGUGAUUAAUUGAAGAUUUGCGAGUUACCAAAUUUUAUUCUUUAAUGCAUGAUUAGUGAGAACUAAUUAUUUUUACUAGUUAGCCUUCAUAAGAUAACAAUUUCAUUUAUGAGGUAAUCUGGUUAAGUUGAUUAACCAUAUUCGUUAGUAUUAAUUUCGAUAUAGAAAAGUCAUAACCGAAUUCUUUGAUUAUAUUUUCUAAUUAAUAUCUUUCUUCCUAUUAUAAUUACUUACUUUCUAGCAUUAAGUUCACAUAUGCAUUAAACCUAUGUAACAGUAGCAAUAUAUUAUUUAAACAGUUACAGAAGGGCAUUAUGCAUUACUCUAUUUGGUUUCAAUAAUUAUUAAUUAACUUAUUGUGUUAUUUGGGCAUUCGUGCUUACUAUAGCCAGCAGCUUCAGUGCCUGAUCCAUAUUAAUUCCUUGCAUUUUAAUGAAACAAGGAGAAAUCAAGUUCAAGAAGGCAAAUCAUAUGUAUCCUCUCUUCAGGAUUUUUUUUCAGUUACAUAUUUCUCUAAUAGGAACAUCAUAAUUCUAUAAUUAGUAAAAUAUCUCUACAUUGUCGAUAGAUUUGUUUCAGUCGCUACAAUACUUUUAUCCCAUAUUCUUUUUUCCUGUUUGCUCAAAGGCAGGCAAAGGCUUCCUCCGUUGCGUGACGUGCGCUAAGAUUCAUAUUUCACAGCAUUAUUUUUCGAGUAAAUAACCAUAAGGAAAGAAUGAUUAUCCUUGGGCGGGAUAAUGAGUCUUUCUGUCAAAAUAUUCAUGCACAUAUAGCAAUACUCAUGCAUCACUAUUGGAUAAAACAAGAAUAUGUGUGCACAAAAAAAAAAAAAAAAAAUUAUGCAAACGCAACAAAAUUUAUAUUUUCGAAAUAUGAUUAUCAAUAUCUGAGGAAAAAAAAUCGAAUCUCAUUAGGGAAUCUUGCCACGUGAUCAUGAAUAAUUGACUAAUUGUGGAAGAUGAAGAUGAUAGUGAGGUGAGUUGCCGAUGGUCAUGGUGUUGUGUGGAGGCAAAAGAAAUGGUGGUGGGUUUGGAAGAGAAAGGGAGGAGGGGUUGUCGUGGGAGAGGCCAAGGGUGACUCUUGAGACACGAAGAGAAUGACAUUUCAGGGGAUUUGACGGAGAUUGAACAUGAAAAUUUGGAAAAGAAAGUUUCUUUCUUUCAGGAAUGAGCUAGUGAGCUGCAGCUGGAGUGAAAAGAACUGGAUUUUCCUUCUUUUUUUUUUCUUUCUUUUUUUUUACCCUUGAAGGUCGUUUCCGGGCGUUUUUCUGCCAAUUGCAUAAACCAAUCCUGAAUCUUU